GAUGAACGCUGGCGGCGUGCCUAAUACAUGCGAGUCGAGCGAACAGACGAGGAGCUUGCUCCUCUGACGUUAGCGGCGGACGGGUGAGUAACACGUGGAUAACCUACCUAUAAGACUGGGAUAACUUCGGGAAACCGGAGCUAAUACCGGAUAAUAUAUUGAACCGCAUGGUUCAAUAGUGAAAGACGGUUUUGCUGUCACUUAUAGAUGGAUCCGCGCCGCAUUAGCUAGUUGGUAAGGUAACGGCUUACCAAGGCGACGAUGCGUAGCCGACCUGAGAGGGUGAUCGGCCACACUGGAACUGAGACACGGUCCAGACUCCUACGGGAGGCAGCAGUAGGGAAUCUUCCGCAAUGGGCGAAAGCUUGACGGAGCAACGCUGCGUGAGUGAUGAAGGUCUUCGGAUCGUAAAACUCUGUUAUUAGGGAAGAACAAAUGUGUAAGUAACUAUGCACGUCUUGACGGUACCUAAUCAGAAAGCCACGGCUAACUACGUG
rnacentral:rRNA from 1 species